UGUAGCAAGGGAUUUUCCUAAGGAUUGGUCAUUGGUGGCAGCAAGUGUUACAAGUGUCAUGAAGUUGGCCACACCUCGAAAGGCUGUACGAAUCUAUUCGUGAAUUGACGGAAAACGGAAAGCCGCAUGAACAAUAUAUUCCGGAAGCUGUGACAUGCGAUGAAAAUGAACUGUUUAAGUGGGAUCGUCUGUGGGGAAAGCUUUAACAAUUUUGAUAAAGUUGUUCUUCAUCGAAUCCAGGUUACAGGAAAAGAUGUACCUCAAUACAUCACAUCACUCGAAGAACCCGGCCUGCGCCCACUACUACUUCAAAACAUUAAGAAUUCAGAAAAAAAUUAUGGUAGUUGGAACGAUUACCGAAGCUCUUCGGAUUCGUUUAUUUCACGCGUUAUGUGAUAAUUCUGCAGCGGGUCAUGCAGAUACUGUGAUCAGCAGAGAAGGUUAGAAGUGCGCUGCCCGGAAAGCAAAUUUGGGGUAAAAGAAAAAAACUUAUUAGAACUAGUAAGCCAUUUCCAAAUUCAACCAACAUAAAGGUA